rnacentral:rRNA from 1 species
CCUACGGGCGGCUGCAGUCGAGAAUCUUUGUCAAUGGACGAAAGUCUGAACAAGCGACGCCGCGUGCGGGAUGAAGGCCUUCGGGUUGUAAACCGCUGUCGUAGGGGAACAAAUGUACGGGGGUACUCCCCUGUAUUUGAGUGAUCCUAGGAGGAAGGAGAGGCUAAGCUCGUGCCAGCAGCCGCGGUAAGACGAGCUCUCCAAACGUUAUUCGGUAUCACUGGGCUUAAAGAGUUCGUAGGCGGCCUAGCAGGUCAGGUGUGAAAUCCCACAGCUCAACUGUGGAAUAGCGCUUGAAACCGUUAGGCUUGAGGGAGAUAGAGGUAGGCGGAACAGAUGGUGGAGCGGUGAAAUGCGUUGAUAUCAUCUGGAACACCGGUGGCGAAAGCGGCCUACUGGGUCUUUUCUGACGCUGAGGAACGAAAGCUAGGGUAGCGAACGGGCUUAGAUACCCCGGUAGUC